GAUGAACGCUGGCGGCGUGCUUAACACAUGCAAGUUGAGCGAAGCGCUUACGACAGAACCUUCGGGGGAAGAUGUAAGGGACUGAGCGGCGGACGGGUGAGUAACGCGUGGGUAACCUGCCUCAUACAGGGGGAUAACAGUUGGAAACGGCUGCUAAUACCGCAUAAGCGCACAGUAUCGCAUGAUACGGUGUGAAAAACUCCGGUGGUAUGAGAUGGACCCGCGUCUGAUUAGCUAGUUGGAGGGGUAACGGCCCACCAAGGCGACGAUCAGUAGCCGGCAGGGAAGGGGGACCGGCAAACUUGGGGCAGGGACCAGCGCCGAACCCCGAGGGAAGGGAGCAAUGGGGAAUAUUGCAAAGUGGGGGAAACCCUAAGGCAGCGGGCCCGGGUAAAGAAAGAAGUUUCUGGGAAUGUAAACUUCUAACAGCAGGGAAAAAAAGACGGUUCCCGGACAAAAAAGCCCGGGUAACUUACGG
rnacentral:rRNA from 1 species